GGGACACGUGGUAUCCUGUCUGAAUAUGGGGGGACCAUCCUCCAAGGCUAAAUACUCCUGACUGACCGAUAGUGAACCAGUACCGUGAGGGAAAGGCGAAAAGAACCCCGGCGAGGGGAGUGAAAAAGAACCUGAAACCGUGUACGUACAAGCAGUGGGAGCACCCUUUGGGGUGUGACUGCGUACCUUUUGUAUAAUGGGUCAGCGACUUAUAUUCUGUAGCAAGGUUAACCGAAUAGGGGAGCCGGAGGGAAACCGAGUCUUAACCGGGCGUUAAGUUGCAGGGUAUAGACCCGAAACCCGGUGAUCUAGCCAUGGGCAGGUUGAAGGUUGGGUAACACUAACUGGAGGACCGAACCGACUAAUGUUGAAAAAUUAGCGGAUGACCUGUGGCUGGGGGUGAAAGGCCAAUCAAACCGGGAGAUAGCUGGUUCUCCCCGAAAGCUAUUUAGGUAGCGCCUCGUGAAUUCAUCUCCGGGGGUAGAGCACUGUUUCGGCUAGGGGGCCAUCCCGGCUUACCAACCCGAUGCAAACUGCGAAUACCGGAGAAUGUUAUCACGGGAGACACACGGCGGGUGCUAACGUCCGUCGUGAAGAGGGAAACAACCCAGACCGCCAGCUAAGGUCCCAAAGUCAUGGUUAAGUGGGAAACGAUGUGGGAAGGCCCAGACAGCCAGGAUGUUGGCUUAGAAGCAGCCAUCAUUUAAAGAAAGCGUAAUAGCUCACUGGUCGAGUCGGCCUGCGCGGAAGAUGUAACGGGGCUAAACCAU
rnacentral:rRNA from 1 species